ACAGUUGUUUUUGGUUGUCU
rnacentral:siRNA from 1 species